rnacentral:rRNA from 1 species
AAUAGAUACCCUGGUAGUCCACGCCGUAAACGAUGGGUGCUAAGUGUUGGGGGUUUCCGCCCCUCAGUGCUGUAGCUAACGCAUUAAGCACUCCGCCUGGGGAGUACGGUCGCAAGACUGAAACUCAAAGGAAUUGACGGGGGCCCGCACAAGCGGUGGAGCAUGUGGUUUAAUUCGAAGCAACGCGAAGAACCUUACCAGGUCUUGACAUCCCGGUGACCACUAUGGAGACAUAGUUUCCCCUUCGGGGGCAACGGUGACAGGUGGUGCAUGGUUGUCGUCAGCUCGUGUCGUGAGAUGUUGGGUUAAGUCCCGCAACGAGCGCAACCCUUAUUCUUAGUUGCCAUCAUUCAGUUGGGCACUCUAAGGAGACUGCCGGUGAUAAACCGGAGGAAGGUGGGGAUGACGUCAAAUCAUCAUGCCCCUUAUGACCUGGGCUACACACGUGCUACAAUGGACGGUACAAACGGUUGCCAACCCGCGAGGGGAGCUAAUCCGAUAAAACCGUUCUCAGUUCGGAUUGUAGGCUGCAACUCGCCUACA